AUCCUAAUAGCUUAUUUAGAGUAUGAUAUUGAAGAUGUUAGGGAGGUCUUUGACCUUAGGAUA
rnacentral:tRNA from 1 species